rnacentral:rRNA from 1 species
AUUGAACGCUGGCGGCAGGCCUAACACAUGCAAGUCGAGCGAGCGGCGGACGGGUGAGUAAUGCCUAGGAAUCUGCCUGGUAGCGGGGGAUAACUACUGGAAACGGUAGCUAAUACCGCAUACCCUCAGAUAUGCCCAGAUUGGAUUAGCUAUUGGGUGGGGGAAUGGCACACCUAGGCGACGAUCCCUAGCCGGUCUGGGAUGAUGACCAGCCACACUGGAACUGAGACACGGUCCAGACUCCUACGGGAGGCAGCAGUGGGGAAUAUUGCACAAUGGGCGAAAGCCUGCUGCAGCCAUGCCGCGUGUGUGAAGAAGGCAUUCGGGUUGGAAAGCACUUUCAGCGAGGAGGCGUUACUCGCAGAAGAAGCACCGGCUAACUCCGUGCCAGCAGCCGCGGUAAUAC